UACGUAGGGUGCGAGCGUUGUCCGGAAUUAUUGGGCGUAAAGAGCUUGUAGGCGGUCUGUCGCGUCUGCUGUGAAAAUCCGGGGCUCAACCCCGGACUUGCAGUGGGUACGGGCAGACUAGAGGUGUGGUAGGGGAGACGUGGAAUUCCUGGUGUAGCGGUGAAAUGAGCGCAGACUAUCAGGAGGAACACCGAUGGCGAAGGCAGGUCUCUGGGC
rnacentral:rRNA from 1 species